rnacentral:rRNA from 1 species
AGCGAACGCUGGCGGCAGGCUUAACACAUGCAAGUCGAGCGGGCACUUUCGGGUGUCAGCGGCGGACGGGUGCGUAACGCGUGGGAACGUGCCCUCUGGUUCGGAAUAACUCAGGGAAACUUGAGCUAAUACCGGAUACGCCCUUUUGGGGAAAGGCUUGCUGCCGGAGGAUCGGCCCGCGUCUGAUUAGCUAGUUGGUGAGGUAACGGCUAACCAAGGCGACGAUCAGUAGCUGGUCUGAGAGGAUGAUCAGCCACACUGGGGCUGAGACACGGCCCAGGCUCCUACGGGAGGCAGCAGUGGGGAAUAUUGGACAAUGGGCGCAAGCCUGAUCCAGCCAUGCCGCGUGAGUGAUGAAGGCCUUAGGGUUGUAAAGCUCUUUUAUCCGGGACGAUAAUGACGGUACCGGAGGAAUAAGCCCCGGCUAACUUCGUG